rnacentral:rRNA from 1 species
GNNNGAACNNNCUGGGCGGGCGAUGNNUUUAACANCAUUNNAAAGUCCGANNNNAAAAAUACCCAAGCUUNGCUUUGGUUNNAUUAAGUNACGAAACGGGNNNAGUAACNNCGUGANGUAANNNUGCCCCNUUACUUUUCCUGGAUAAACUGCUCGAANNGGGUAGCUAAUACGGGGAUAUUCUNNCCAUCCUGCAUGGGUUGGUUUGGAAAGGUUGUUUUUCUGGUAAGGGAUGGGCUCGCGGCCUAUCAGCUUGUUGGUGGGGUGAUGGCCUACCAAGGCUUUGACGGGUAGCCGGCCCGAGAGGGUGGACGGUCACACUGGGACUGAGAUACGGCCCAGACUCCUACGGGAGGCAGCAGUGGGGAAUAUUGCACAAUGGGCGCAAGCCUGAUGCAGCGACGCCGCGUGAGGGAUGAAGGCCUUCGGGUUGUAAACCUCUUUCGUCAGGGAACAAGGCAUUGCCUUUUUUGGUGGUGUUGAGGGUACCUGGAUAAGAAGCGCCGGCUAACUACGUGCCAGCAGCCGCGGUAAUACGUAGGGCGCAAGCGUUGUCCGGAAUUAUUGGGCGUAAAGAGCUCGUAGGCGGCUGGUCGCGUCUGUCGUGAAAACUUCCGGCUCAACCGGGGGCUUGCGGUGGGUACGGGCCGGCUAGAGUGCGGUAGGGGUAACUGGAACUCCUGGUGUAGCGGUGGAAUGCGCAGAUAUCAGGAAGAACACCGAUGGCGAAGGCAGGUUACUGGGCCGUUACUGACGCUGAGGAGCGAAAGCGUGGGGAGCGAACAGG